rnacentral:lncRNA from 1 species
AGAGGCGAAUGCCGAUAAGUUUACCUUUUAUCUCCUCUCCCACCUCAUUCAAGGAAUAUAAAAGGUUGAUCUUUGAUUUGAUGGUUUUUGGAAUGUCAAAAUGCGGUUCAUCGGACCUCGCCAUGGGGGAAAAUUUCACCAAACAAUUGCUGUACGUACAGCACGUCGAUAAGGAAAAGGACUCAACCAGUAUAAUAUCAGAGCAAUCCCUCCGAGAAUAUUUGUUGGUAAACCACAAGGUAUAUUCCGAAUCUAAUUUUGCAGAGUACUUGAAGAAUCCUGUAGCAAAUGUCGACAUUCUGAAAUCAUAUUUAGAACAUAAAAUCAUCAAUGUCCAAGUUUACUCCAAUCCUCUCCGAGAAUCUCUCAAAUCGCCCGUCGCGAUUCACGCUUUCGUCGUUUUCCAAACGAGUAACAGUAACUGGAAUACGAAUGAAGAGAUGUGGUAUUCCAUCGAAAAAAAAAACGGGCAGUACAUAGUUCUGCAACAAUCACCAUUUGAAGAGGACGUCACACAGAAAUUAUACGACGCUGAAAAGAAGGAACCUGUCAGAAGACUUUGGCCAGUCAUACCAAAAAAAAGUGCUAGGGGCAAUUAUAAGGCCCUUGAAUAUUUAUUGCGAGCCAUUUGGGAAACCAAUCAGCUAACUACAAAAUAUCAUCUUCUGUUUGCGAAUUGCCACAAUUUCGCAACUUUUGUAUUCGAAAAAUCAAACGACGGAGGGGAAAAGUGGUCGACGCCGAUAAGUGCUUUCAUCGACUCACCGAAUUGGAUUGAGAAAUAAGAAAAUCAAGUCCAUCAGCCCAGCGGAAUUAGUUAAAUACAACUGGAUUGAAAAAGACGCCAAAUUCGACUAUUACAAAGCUAUGUUAGAGGGAAGGUGGGAAUACUUUAAAGACCUUGCCGGUAAUUUGACAAGCGAAUCUUUGAACAGCGUCGACUCCCAAGGCUACACAUUACUCGAAUGGGCCACCGUUUUCUCCACACCCAAUUGGCCAAUCGACCAGUUUUUAAUGGAAAAAGGCGCCAAAAUUCAAACAGACGAAGGAACGUUUCGUCGGAAUGUUUUUUUCAUCGCCCUGCAGUAUUUUCCUUCAACUAAAGAGUUGAAAAGCAAAUCUUACCUCUUGUCAUUUAAGGGCAUUGAUAUUCAUGGCGUGAACACAACGGGCGACACGGCAAUGCACUUGGCUUUGUAUGGAGAAAAAUGGAACGUUGCCAAAAAGAUUCUCAAGGAAUUUCCAAAUUAUGACGUCAACGUCACCAAUUCUUGUGGGCAUCUUCCAUUUUAUCUAGCUGUAAAAUUUAAAUGUAAAAGGGUUUUGCUAAAAACGAUUCUAGAUAGAACCAAUCCGGAAAAUCUCAAGAAACCCAUCGAACCCUAUGGAGAAGAACCCUGCUCUUCACGUCGCAAUCAAGGACAAGUCCACAACUAUAGUAGUGGAAUUGCUCAAACACAAGGACGUGGACGCGAACUUAAAAGAUGUUAACAACUACACAGCACUACAUCCUCCCACAAAGAUGCUGUUAGGCAACGCAGAGGCAAAAAUUACUAUCGUGAAUAAAUCCAGUUUGUUGAUGGCACCGAUCAACAUGGUGGGAGCAUACAAGGACCGGUUUUUUUUUAGGAAACAGUGAUUUAAAUCUGUUGAAUACCAAGUUGUAUUCAUCGAGGAAAUAACCUGGAAAAAACCCAUGCAAACCAGUCGCCCUAGCCAAAAAAAAAAAAAAAAAAAGAAAAAGGUCUUACAUUUCUAUUAUCGACGUGCGUGAUAUCCCGAAGCUACUCACGCUCAAGACAUCUGAUGCAGUUUCAUCCGUAUAAAAGGAUCCACUUCGACUCGAGAUUCAAACCAAGAAACAUCAGUUGAUCUGUGUGUUCCAUCUCCUUCCUACAGUCUGCAAAAUAAAAUGAUGAAUGUCUUGUCAAUUUUCCUGCUCAUGGCUGCCGUGUCUCUGACAACCGUGUCCGCUCGAUUCUGGAAUGUAGGCGACAACGGAUUGGUUCGCUGGGACUACAAUUGUCAUUUUGUUGGCAAUGUCAUCGACAACAAGCCCAGCUCUGGCGAGCAAUGCGGUGGCAUCUGCAUCGCCAACUCUCAAUGCACCCACUUUACUCACGCGGGCGGUUACUGUUACCUGAAGAGACACACCGGCCCUUGGAGAGAAACCGAUGAAACUGCAAACACUUGCGGUUUCAUCCCCGGCCGAAGCGCGCAGAACGAACGAAAAUGAACGCAAUCGUCACGAAUUUCGGCUACGACAAACGACUGAAAAAAAAGGAAAUUAUAAUACCGUUUAAAAUAUUUGAUCAAUAGCUGAAAAUAAAGCAUCUUCUGCAUGACAUUGGCAAAUACAUUCUGGUUAGCUCAA